AUUUGUGAUGGAUGUAAUAUCCUGGAAUAAUCUGUUAUCUUCCAAUGAAUAGUCGUGGAGGUGGAGAGAAAAAACAGGGACCUGCAUGAAAAUGCAUCAAGCAGAAGACCAGCUGAUCAGAUGGAGAGAAGAGAGAAGAGAGAUGUGACAUGAUGAGAAGAGAGCUAUGACAUGACGUAGUGUUGCUUUCCAGGCUGAAGAAAUCCUACCUGGAGAGUUUCUUGAACAACAGGUUUUAUUUCUUCAAUCUGUCCGUGGAAACAAGAAAAGCAUCCUUUGGAACACAACAGAUCUCAGCCAUGAACCUUGGUCAAGCGGAGCAGAGUAUAACUUAAUUUGAAGAGCAUUCCAGAGGCUGUAAGAGUUGUGAUACCAUUCAGUGUCUCAGCUUUCAGCACAAAUAUGUCCUGAACUGCUAAAUAUUCAUGAUCACGUGGAAGAUGGUCACUGG